GGCUCCAUAGUUAAACGGAUAUAACAAGCGCUUCCUAAGCGUUAGUUCUAGGUUCGAUUCCUGGUGGGGCCG
rnacentral:tRNA from 1 species